rnacentral:rRNA from 1 species
GGAAUCCUUGAGAUUUUAGUGGCGCAGCUAACGCAUUAAGUUGACCGCCUGGGGARUACGGCGCCCAAGGUUAAAACUCAAAUGAAUUGRCGGGGGCCCGCCCAAGCGGGGGAACAUGKGGUUUAAUUCGAAGCAACCCCAAGAACCUUACCMGGCCUUGCCAUGCAGAGAACUUUCCAGAAAUGGAUUGGUGCCUUCGGGAAUUSAGACACAGGUGCUGCAUGGGUGGCSUCAGUUCGUGUCUUGAGAUGUUGGGUUAAAUCCCGUAACGAGCCCAACCCUUGUCCUUAGUUACCAGCACGUUAUGGUGGGCACUUUAAGGAGACUGCCGGUGACAAACCGGAGGAAGGUGGGGAGGAGGUCAAGUCAUCAUGGCCCUUAGGGCCUGGGUUACCCACUUGCUCCAAUGGUCGGUACAGAGGGUUGMCAAGCCGCGAGGCGGAGCUAAUCUCACAAAACCGAUUGUAAUCCGGAUCGCAAUCUGCAAUUCGAUUGCGKGAAUUCGGAAUCGCUAGUAAUCCAGAAUCAGAAUGUCGCGGUGAAUACGUUCCCGGGCCUUGUACACACCGCCCGUCACACCAUGGGAGUGGGUUGCACCAGAAGCAGGUAGUCUAACCUUCGG